rnacentral:tRNA from 1 species
GGGGCCUUAGCUCAGUUGGUAGAGCGCUGCCUUUGCAAGGCGGAUGUCAGGAGUCGAAUCUCCUAGGCUCCA